ensembl:snRNA U4 U4 spliceosomal RNA
AGCUUUGCACAGUGUCAGUAUCAUAGUCAAUGAGGUUUAUCCGAGGUGCGAUUAUUGCUAAUUGAAAACUUUUCCUAAUACCCCGCCGUGACGACUUGAAAUAUAGUCUGCGUUGGCAAUUUUUCGUAGUCUCUAGGGGGA